rnacentral:rRNA from 1 species
CCCGUUGGCGGAGGCUUACCAUGCAGUCGAGCGGUAGCACAGGGGAGCUUGCUCCCUGGGUGACGAGCGGCGGACGGGUGAGUAAUGUCUGGGAAACUGCCUGAUGGAGGGGGAUAACUACUGGAAACGGUAGCUAAUACCGCAUAACGUCGCAAGACCAAAGAGGGGGACCUUCGGGCCUCUUGCCAUCAGAUGUGCCCAGAUGGGAUUAGCUAGUAGGUGGGGUAAUGGCUCACCUAGGCGACGAUCCCUAGCUGGUCUGAGAGGAUGACCAGCCACACUGGAACUGAGACACGGUCCAGACUCCUACGGGAGGCAGCAGUGGGGAAUAUUGCACAAUGGGCGCAAGCCUGAUGCAGCCAUGCCGCGUGUGUGAAGAAGGCCUUCGGGUUGUAAAGCACUUUCAGCGAGGAGGAAGGUGGUGAACUUAAUACGUUCAUCAAUUGACGUUACUCGCAGAAGAAGCACCGGCUAACUCCGUGCCAGCAGCCGCGGUAAUACGGAGGGUGCAAGCGUUAAUCGGAAUUACUGGGCGUAAAGCGCACGCAGGCGGUUUGUUAAGUCAGAUGUGAAAUCCCCGGGCUCAACCUGGGAACUGCAUUUGAAACUGGCAAGCUAGAGUCUCGUAGAGGGGGGUAGAAUUCCAGGUGUAGCGGUGAAAUGCGUAGAGAUCUGGAGGAAUACCGGUGGCGAAGGCGGCCCCCUGGACGAAGACUGACGCUCAGGUGCGAAAGCGUGGGGAGCAAACAGGAUUAGAUACCCUGGUAGUCCACGCUGUAAACGAUGUCGAUUUGGAGGUUGUGCCCUUGAGGCGUGGCUUCCGGAGCUAACGCGUUAAAUCGACCGCCUGGGGAGUACGGCCGCAAGGUUAAAACUCAAAUGAAUUGACGGGGGCCCGCACAAGCGGUGGAGCAUGUGGUUUAAUUCGAUGCAACGCGAAGAACCUUACCUACUCUUGACAUCCAGAGAACUUUCCAGAGAUGGAUUGGUGCCUUCGGGAACUCUGAGACAGGUGCUGCAUGGCUGUCGUCAGCUCGUGUGUGAAAUGUGGGUUAAGUCCCGCACGAGCGCAACCUUAUCCUUUGUUGCCAGCGUCGCGGGACUCAAAGGAAGACUGCCAUGAUAACCUGGAGCACGUGGGAUGAACGUUCCAGUCAUCAUGGUCCCUUACGAGCUACGCUAACCACUGGUGCUACACAUGGGCG